rfam:Triticum aestivum genome assembly, contig: Triticum_aestivum_CS42_TGACv1_scaffold_437536_5DL
CACAUACUCCCUCCGUUCCGAAUAACUUGUUUUGGAUUUGUCUAGAUACAUCCGUAUCUAGAUUCAUUUUAGUGCUAGAUACAUCCGUAUCUAGACAAAUCUAAAAUAAGUAAUUCAGAACGGAGGGAGUAGCAG